rnacentral:tRNA from 1 species
GCGCCCGUAGCUCAGCUGGAUAGAGCAUCACCUUGCGGUGGUGGGGGUCGCAAGUUCGAAUCUUGCCGGGCGCACCA